rnacentral:rRNA from 1 species
GUAGUCCACGCCGUAAACGAUGCAUACUAGUUUUUUGGGGUAUCGACCCCCUGAGAAACGAAGCUAACGCGAUAAGUAUGCCGCCUGGGAAGUACGGCCGCAAGGCUAAAACUCAAAGGAAUUGACGGGGACCCGCACAAGCGGAGGAUGAUGUGGUUUAAUUUGACGAUACGCGAAGAACCUUACCCAGGCUUGACAUCCUUGGAACCCUGCGGAAACGCGGGGGUGCCCUCGGGAGCCAAGUGACAGGUGCUGCAUGGCCGUCGUCAGCUCGUGUCGUGAGAUGUUGGGUUAAGUCCCGCAACGAGCGCAACCCUUAUCGUAUGUUGUAUUUUUCAUGCGAGACUGCCCGGGCCAACCGGGA